CAAACCAGGAGGUCAAAGGAAGCCUGUGGAGCUCAGAGACAGGAGUGUGUCGAGGCACAGAGCUGGGGAAGAAUACAAACCAAUGUCUGUUGCAUUAAAGAUUCCCAAGAACACCGUGGCCUCCAUCAUUCUGACAUGGGAGAAGUUCGGAACAACAAAGACACUUCUUAGAGCCGGUGGCCCGUCCAAACUGAACAAUCUGGGGAGAAGAGGUGACCAAGAACCCGAUGCCAGACUGAAGCCACUGCUCAGUGCAAAACACAUGACAACCUGCUCCAGAGCACUCUGGACCUCAGACUGGGCCGAUGUUUCACCCUCCAACAAGACGAGGAUCCUAAGCACACGGCCGAAACAACGCAGGAGUGGUUUAGGGAGAACUCUGUGAAUGUCCUUGAGUGGCCCAGCCAGAGCCCGGACUUGAACCCAAUCCAACAUCUCUGGAGAGAACUGAAAGUGGCCGUCCAUCGGCGAUCCCCAUCCAGCCUGACAGAGCUCGAGAGGAUCUGCAGAGAAGAAUGGGAGAAAAUCCCCAAAUCCAGAUGUGCAAAGCUUGUUGCAUCGUAGCCAAGAAGACUUGAGGCUGUUAAUGCUGCAAAAGAUGGUGAAUAAAGACACGGACUGCAGCAAAGCUGUUGGAGGCAAAUCAAAGAUGAAGAACAAGGAUGAAGGACUUUGACAGGCUGAUCUGCACUGUCCAAACUGAACUCUUCUAAUGAGCUGCGAGUGAGGUGAAGGCUUGUUGUGCAGGACGUCCUGGAGUCUCACGGUUCAUGACCGAGGCUUCACUCGUGCUGCUGAAGUCCAAGGUGCUGCUGAAGUCAAAGGUACCUGGCUCUUGGAGAUGCUGCCAACUUAACGACAGGUGCUUGUCCAGGGGAAGACCUGUUGGGGGUACCAACAGUCUGGAUGGAAACGUAAUGUUUAAAAGAAGUCUAGAGCCGGACUUGGUCCGUCUUGCUGCCUUCACUUGUUGAAUACAGGACGCCAUCAACAUCCAGCUGCCACCUUGGACUGCAACACGACUGCAUUUAAUUUGUUAAGAUGUCACUUUGGAUUUUCAAUUAAAGUUCAGUAAAUCUUUUAUGUGUAA